rnacentral:rRNA from 1 species
AUUGAACGCUGGCGGAAUGCUUUACACAUGCAAGUCGAACGGCAGCACGGGGCAACCUGGUGGCGAGUGGCGAACGGGUGAGUAAUACAUCGGAACGUGCCCAAUCGUGGGGGAUAACGUAGCGAAAGUUACGCUAAUACCGCAUACGAUCUACGGAUGAAAGCAGGGGAUCGCAAGACCUUGCGCUGAUUGAGCGGCCGAUAUCAGAUUAGCUAGUUGGUGGGGUAAAAGCCUACCAAGGCGAUGAUCGGUAGCUGGUCUGAGAGGAUGGUCAGCCACACUGGGACUGAGAUACGGCCCAGACUCCUACGGGAGGCAGCAGUCGAGAGGCUUCGGCAAUGGGGGAAACCCUGACCGAGCGACGCCGCGUGAGGGAUGAAGGCCCUUGGGUUGUAAACCUCUUUUGUUCGGGAAGAAGUGCGAUCAGGUGAAUAAUCUGGUCGUUUUGACGGUACCGGACGAAUAAGCUCCGGCUAACUCCGUGCCAGCAG